rnacentral:lncRNA from 1 species
UUCAGAUUUUCUUUAAAAAUGUGCCUUUUUUUUUUUUUUAAUAAAAUCAGGAUCUGUGGGUCAGAUUUGGGCUAUAAUUUUUGCAUUCUUCCAAUCUACACUGACGUCUUUGCAUAAAGCAAAUUCAGAUAAAGCGGUGCCUUUUUUUUUGCCAUAUUUAACAUCUUGCAUGUGCUCUUUGAUCCUGUCUUGUAGCCACCAUCUAGUGAUCACUUUGUAAUAUUGGAUAUUAUCAGUCACUGUAUGGAUGAGUAUUUUAUACACAUCAGCUAUGUCAGUUUAUUUCCUUUUUUUUAUGUACAAAAACAUUCAGGUCUCUUUUUUCUGCUAACUGGAUUUUGGCAGAUUUUUCUAUUAACUUUUUAUUUGUGACAGUGAUGGGAUGUUAUUUAAUUGCUACUUUUCUUAUGCUUGUUUUAUUGUUUUUCUUGCUAAAUCAUUUCUUUUUUACAUUGCAUAUUAUUUUAUAAAAUUUCCUUAUGUUGUAUCUGUGCUUGAUGGUGGUGCCCUUUAGAACAUAUAGCUCUUCCUGUGUGUGCAGAUGGUAAAAAUUCACUCUUUAAGUGCACAGAAAGUUGCCAAUUUGUACUUGUUGCAAUUGUAUAAUGUGGUAUGGAUAUAUCAGCAUGCUUGUUGGCUUCUUAUAAAUUUUUUACUCUACUCUUCAUCAUCUUUGUAUAUGAUAGCAUUCAAGAAGUUUACUAUUUUCUUGCUGAAUUGUUCUGUUUUAAGGGUUAAACCAUAACUGGUGCUGUUAAUGUCUUCACGUAUUUUUUUUGUUUAUAUUGUAUUGUUUAAUAUGAUGAAAAUAUUAUUUAUAUAUCAGGUAUAGAAUUUAGGUUUUCAGUAUUUACUGAUAAAUUUUCCUUCAGUUCUUAUUAGUACUUCUGCCAUAGGCCACUCAAUAGGGAUCCCAUAUGGCAUUUCUUUUCUGGAUGUAAUAAAUGUCAUCUAAUUUGAAGUAGGAAUUUUUACUUGCAAUAUGCAUUGCAUAAGAUAGAGCUUUAAAAUUGGA